rnacentral:rRNA from 1 species
UCUGCGGCCGAUUAGGUAGUUGUUGGGGUAACGGCCCAACAAGCCUGUAAUCGGUACGGGUUGUGGGAGCAAGAGCCCGGAGAUGGAUUCUGAGACAUGAAUCCAGGCCCUACGGGGCGCAGCAGGCGCGAAAACUUUACAAUGCGGGAAACCGUGAUAAGGGAACCCCGAGUGCCCGUAGAAUCGGGCUGUUGAUCUGUGUAAAAAGCAGGUAAAGAAAGGGCCGGGCAAGACCGGUGCCAGCCGCCGCGGUAAUACCGGCGGCUCGAGUGGUGGCCACUAUUACUGGGCUUAAAGCGUUCGUAGCUGGGUUGUUAAGUCUCUUGGGAAAUCCACCGGCUCAACCGAUGGGCGACCAGGGGAAACUGGCAUUCUAGGGACCGGGAGAGGUGAGAGGUACUCCAGGGGUAGGAGUGAAAUCCUGUAAUCCUUGGGGGACCACCGAUGGCGAAGGCAUCUCACCAGAACGGCUCCGACAGUGAGGAACGAAAGCUGGGGGAGCAAACCGGAUUAGAUACCCGGGUAGUCCCAGCUGUAAACGAUGCGCGUUAGGUGUAUCGGUGACCACGAGUUACCGAGGUGCCGAAGGGAAACCGUGAAACGCGC